rnacentral:rRNA from 1 species
GAUGAACGCUAGCGGCAGGCCUAAUACAUGCAAGACGAACGGUAAGUUGAGUAGCAAUACUUGACCUAGAGUGCCGUACGGGUGCGUAACACGUAUGCAACCUACCCAUAACAGGAGGAUAGCUCCCCGAAAGGGGAAUUAACCCUCCAUAGUAAUAUUAAAUGGCAUCAUUUGGUAUUUAAAACUCCGGUGGUUAUGGAUGGGCAUGCGUCUGAUUAGUUAGUUGGCGGGGUAACGGCCCACCAAGGCGAUGAUCAGUAGGGGAACUGAGAGGUUGAUCCCCCACACUGGCACUGAGAUACGGGCCAGACUCCUACGGGAGGCAGCAGUAGGGAAUAUUGGUCAAUGGAUGGAAGUCUGAACCAGCCAUGCCGCGUGCAGGAAGAAGGCCUUAUGGGUUGUAAACUGCUUCUGCCAGGGGAUAAAAUAGCUGUGCGCAGCGAAUUGCAGGUACCUGGUGAAUAAGCCACGGCUAACUACGUGCCAGCCGCCGCAGUAAAAC